rfam:Moraxella cuniculi DSM 21768 genome assembly, contig: Ga0002152_101
AGGCGUAUAGCUCAGUUGGUUAGAGCACCACCUUGACAUGGUGGGGGUCGAUGGUUCGAGUCCGUUUACGCCUA